rnacentral:rRNA from 1 species
AAUUGAAGAGUUUGAUCAUGGCUCAGAUUGAACGCUGGCGGCAGGCCUAACACAUGCAAGUCGAACGGUAACAGGAAGAAGCUUGCUUCUUUGCUGACGAGUGGCGGACGGGUGAGUAAUGUCUGGGAAACUGCCUGAUGGAGGGGGAUAACUACUGGAAACGGUAGCUAAUACCGCAUAACGUCGCAAGACCAAAGAGGGGGACCUUCGGGCCUCUUGCCAUCGGAUGUGCCCAGAUGGGAUUAGCUUGUUGGUGGGGUAACGGCUCACCAAGGCGACGAUCCCUAGCUGGUCUGAGAGGAUGACCAGCCACACUGGAACUGAGACACGGUCCAGACUCCUACGGGAGGCAGCAGUGGGGAAUAUUGCACAAUGGGCGCAAGCCUGAUGCAGCCAUGCCGCGUGUAUGAAGAAGGCCUUCGGGU